rnacentral:rRNA from 2 species
AUGUGACCUCAAAUCAGGUAGGACUACCCGCUGAACUUAAGCAUAUCAAUAAGCGGAGGAAAAGAAACUAACAAGGAUUCCCCUAGUAACUGCGAGUGAAGCGGGAAAAGCUCAAAUUUAAAAUCUGUCAGUCUUUGACUGUCCGAGUUGUAAUCUAGAGAAGCGUUAUCCGCGCUGGACCGUGUACAAGUCUCCUGGAAUGGAGCGUCAUAGAGGGUGAGAAUCCCGUCUUUGACACGGACUGCCAGGGCUUUGUGAUGCGCUCUCAAAGAGUCGAGUUGUUUGGGAAUGCAGCUCAAAAUGGGUGGUAAAUUCCAUCUAAAGCUAAAUAUUGGCGAGAGACCGAUAGCGAACAAGUACCGUGAGGGAAAGAUGAAAAGAACUUUGGAAAGAGAGUUAAACAGUACGUGAAAUUGCUGAAAGGGAAACGCUUGAAGUCAGUCGCGUUGUCCAGGGAUCAACCUUGCUUUUGCUUGGUGUACUCUCUGGUUGACGGGUCAGCAUCAAUUUUGACCAUUGGAAAAAGAUUAAGGGAAUGUGGCAUCCUUGGAUGUGUUAUAGCCCUUGGUUGCAUACAAUGGUUGGGAUUGAGGAACUCAGCACGCCGAAAGGCCGGGUUUUUAACCACGUACGUGCUUAGGAUGCUGGCAUAAUGGCUUUAAUCGACCCGUCUUGAAACACGGACCAAGGAGUCUAACAUGCCUGCGAGUGUUUGGGUGGAAAACCCGAGCGCGUAAUGAAAGUGAAAGUUGAGAUCCUUGUCAUGGGGAGCAUCGACGCCCGGACCAGACCUUUUGUGACGGUUCCGCGGUAGAGCAUGUAUGUUGGGACCCGAAAGAUGGUGAACUAUGCCUGAAUAGGGUGAAGCCAGAGGAAACUCUGGUGGAGGCUCGUAGCGAUUCUGACGUGCAAAUCGAUCGUCAAAUUUGGGUAUAGGGGCGAAAGACUAAUCGAACCAUCUAGUAGCUGGUUCCUGC